rnacentral:rRNA from 1 species
UGAGUAACUGCGCUCCUGAGCUGUUGUACCGGUUUUCCAUGGUUUGCUUUAAUCGGCAGGCUGUGGUGGCUGGUGUGUUUACCUUGAAUAAAUCAAAAUGCUCAAGAUAGGCGUCUCGCCUGAAUGACAGUGCAUGGAAUAAUGGAAUAAGACUUCGGUUUAUUCUGUUGGUCUUGGAACCGAUGUAAUGGUUAAGAGGGACUGACGGGGGCAUUUGUAUCGAUGCGUGAGAGGUGAAAUUCUUGGACCGCAUCGAGACAAACUACUGCGAAAGCAUUUGCCAAGAAUGUCUUCAUUAAUCAAGAACGAAAGUCAGAGGAUCGAAGGCGAUUAGAUACCGCCCUAGUUCUGACCGUAAACGAUGCCAACUAGCGAUCAGGCGGUGGCUAUUAAACCCUGCCUGGGAGCUUCCCGGAAACGAAAGUCUUCGGGUUCCGGGGGUAGUAUGGUUGCAAAGCUGAAACUUAAAGGAAUUGACGGAAGGGCACCACCAGGAGUGGAGCCUGCGGCUUAAUUUGACUCAACGCGGGGAACCUCACCAGGCCCAGACAUUGUUAUGAUUGACAGAUUAAGAGUUCUUUCUCGAUUCUAUGGGUGGUGGUGCAUGGCCGUUCUUGGUUGGUGGAGUGAUCUGUCUGGUUAAUUCCGAUAACGAACGAGACCCUGCCCUGCUAAUUAGGUAUCAGUUACUCCGGUUUCUGGUACCUGCUUAGAGGGACUGCGUA